rnacentral:rRNA from 1 species
UAUACAAGGUGCUGCAUGGUUGUCGUCAGCUCGUGCCGUGAGGUGUCGGGUUAAGUCCCAUAACGAGCGCAACCCCUAUCAUUAGUUGCCAUCAGGUCAAGCUGGGGACUCUAAUGAAACUGCCUACGCAAGUAGUGAGGAAGGUGGGGAUGACGUCAAAUCAGCACGGCCCUUACGUCCAGGGCUACACACGUGCUACAAUGGCCGAUACAGAGGGCAGCUACCUGGUGACAGGAUGCAAAUCUCCAAAGUCGGUCUCAGUUCGGAUCGGAGUCUGCAACCCGACUCCGUGAAGUUGGAUUCGCUAGUAAUCGCGCAUCAGCCAUGGCGCGGUGAAUACGUUCCCGGGCCUU